CUGGAUUAUAGGGCUAGGUUGUGGUGGAAAGAGAUAACAGGGGCUGGUUUUAGGUGAUGGCGCAACAGGACAAUGAGCGAAAUAGCGGCGAAACAGAUUUUAUUAUGUCAGGAAUACAACGGCAAUGGGGGUGGGGGUGAAACAUCGUCUGUGGAGAGCAUCGUCGACGGAGACCGGUGGAGACGUCUUAAGCUGCUUACACAUGGUUGAUGCGAAUCCAACGGCAAGCAAUGAAAAAGAGGAAUUGGGUCACUGGUUUAUGGAUAUCAGAUCAAAACCGUUUCUCCCUUUCAAACCCUCCCUCUGCCAUCACCAAGCUUGCUUUGUUCUCCAUCGUCAGCAGCCUAAGGCGUCUCCCUCUGCAACUCUCAGAGUUCUCGCAAGGCGCUAUCCUUGGAAACCUAAUCUCCUGCAUGCAACAAGCCUGACAGGGAGCAAAAGACCUCUCCAAACCUUCUCUUACUGAAUUAAUGCACAGUGUUUAGGAGAAGGCAGGGGUUGGAGAAGAAGAAGAAGAAGAAGUAGAAGAAGAAAAUGAAGGAAGGAAGAGAAGAAUGAAGAGUUAAUGCAACUCUCGAGUCAUCCCAUGACCAGGGAGAACAAGAGCAGAAGGGGAAUCAGCAAAGCCCAGAAAGCAGCAACCUAAAGAAAGCUAGAAAAUCUUGUGGUUUCCAUGACGAGGUCGAAGAGAGAGCAGGAAGAAAGAAGAAAGAUCCAGCGGAUAGGCUUUCACUCACUCUGUUUCAGGGCGGAAGCAUUUAGAAGACGGGGUUUGAAAGGGGAGGAAGACUUGGGUUGAGCCACGUGUCGACAGCUAAAGGACUCUCUGCGGUCUCCGCCGACGAUGCUCUCCACAGACGAUGUUUUCCCCAGCGGGCUAUCCACGAUUCAGAGAUGAUAAUAUAUAAUGGUAAAGGGCUGCAGAGAUGUGUUGACGGGGUCGAUGCGAUGCAGAGUUCUGCAGUGCCAGUGUCGACACAAGGCUGGAAGUUGGUGAAAUGGGGAUAGGUUCUGUAAAUUAAGGGCGUGUGACCUCUGUUCGUGUAUUGUGACACUCAAUACACACUGCCUCUGUGCCUUUGGCUCAACAUCUACCCGGGUAGGA